ensembl:rRNA 5S_rRNA 5S ribosomal RNA
GCUUACGGCCAUACCACCCUGAACACGCCCGAUCUCGUCUGAUCUCGGAAGCUAAGCAGGGUCGGGCCUGGUCAGUACUUGGAUGGGAGACCGCUGGGAAUACCAGGUGCUGUAAGCU